rnacentral:rRNA from 1 species
UACGUAGGGCGCAAGCGUUGUCCGGAAUUAUUGGGCGUAAAGAGCUCGUAGGCGGUUUGUCGCGUCUGCUGUGAAAACUCGAGGCUCAACCUCGGGCUUGCAGUGGGUACGGGCAGACUAGAGUGCGGUAGGGGUGACUGGAAUUCCUGGUGUAGCGGUGGAAUGCGCAGAUAUCAGGAGGAACACCUGCGGCGAAGGCGGGUUGCUGGGCUGACGCUGACGCUGAGGCGCGAAAGCCAGGGGAGCGAACGGG